GCCUGGUGUGGUAGCGUGUGCCUGUAGUCCCAGCUACUUGGGAGGCUGAGGUGGGAGGAUCGCUUGAGCCCAGGAGUUCUGGGUUGUAGUGCUCUAUGCCGAUUGGGUGUCCGCACUAAGUUUGGCAUCAAUAUGGUGACCUCCUGGGAGCGGGGGACCACCAGGUUGCCUACGGAGGGGUGAACCGGCCCAGGCUGGAAAUGGAGCAGGUCAAAACUCCCGUUCUGAUGAGUAGUGGGAUCACACCUAUGAAUAGCCACCCUACUCCAGCAUGGGCAACACAGCGAGACCCCGUCUGGA
ensembl:misc_RNA Metazoa_SRP Metazoan signal recognition particle RNA